AGCGAACGUUUGCGGCGGGCUUAACACAUGCAAGUCGAACGAGAAUCCCUUCGGGGAGGAAAGUGGCGCACGGGUGCGUAACACGUGGAUAACCAACCCAUUGGUUUGGGACAACACCGGGAAACUGGUGCUAAUACCAGAUGUGUCGCAGCUGUCUUCAGGCGGUUGCGAGAAAGGCCCGCAAGGGUCGCCAACGGACGGGUCCGCGUCCCAUCAGCUAGUUGGUGAGGUAAUGGCUCACCAAGGCAAAGACGGGUAGCUGGUCUGAGAGGAUGAACAGCCACACUGGAACUGAGACACGGUCCAGACUCCUACGGGAGGCAGCAGUGGGGAAUAUUGCGCAAUGGGCGAAAGCCUGACGCAGCCACGCCGCGUGAGCGAUGAAGGUCUUCGGAUCGUAAAGCUCUGUGGGGGGAGAAGAAGAAAGCCGGUGAAGAGCCGGCCCUGACGGUAUCCCCUUAGCAAGCACCGGCUAACUCCGUGCCAGCAGCCGCGGUAAUGUACAG
rnacentral:rRNA from 1 species